rnacentral:misc_RNA from 1 species
GUGAAUCAUCAAAUUUUUGAACGCAAAUUGCACUCUCCUCGGAGAGUGUGCCUGUUUGAGGGUCAGCCUAUAAAAAAUCGACAUCGUUGCUGUUUCGCGGUGGCGUUCGGCGGAAAUUGGGAUAUCUUAAAUCCUUUUGGGUUUUAAGCGGCUUAAAAUUUUCUUUUUGGUUCUAUGAACGGUUCUGAGGUUUAUUUCUUUACACGUUUAAGGUAUCGCUUUUUAUUAGCAGUGACCAUCAUAUCGGAUCGCGUCGAUAAUCUUUCAUU